UUCAAACAGAGUGCAGUGAACGCCUCUCCAUUGUAGUUAAUAUACCUCCCUGUUGAGAUCAGAGAUCACUUCUCUUGUGAGCAGAGACGAGCGAGCAGACAAUCAACUAACAGUAAAGACUUUCAAUUUUCAUCGACUUCAUUCCCCAUCGGACCAUGAAGACACGGAGAAACAGCAGAGGAUAUAUGGAACGUUAUUGGGAAGGUCGGCACUUGAAGCUGACAGAUUUGAAAGAGGAAGCAAAGGGUUUGAGGAACCAAUAUCUCCUCAAAGAAAACAUUCCUGCGUGGCCCCGACCAGAGUUUCAUGUGUCUCAUCUGAAACACGACACAAACAGAGAUGGAUUACGUGGCAUCAGGGAUGAUAGCGGCUUCAAGCGCCCACAUGGAGACUCUCUGGUGUGGUGGAGUCUGGCUGUGACGCCUGAUGACAUCACAUCGGCUGAGAGGAGGCUCCUGGAGACGACCUACCCCGACCGGACGGAGGAGCAGGUCCAGAUGCAGCAGAGCUUCCUGGGGAAGUUUGCCACCUCCCCGUCCUUCUCCGAGCUCUCCAGGCUGGGCUCGUACCGCUUCACCUUCCCCCUGGAGGAGCUGCUGGAGGCCUACAGCCAGCUGUGUUGCUCCGGCGCUCAGCCCAUAAUGCGGGUGUACGAGACCGUCCUGCACAAACAGGAAGUGGUUUAUGUUAUACUGGUCCACAGCCCAGCCAAUCAGGAGCUGUUCUCAGAUCGUCCUCUGCUGACUGACGACCCAAACUCUGUCUGCUCCUACAAAGAUGGCCGCUUCAUCUGGAGGCCUGAGGCCAUGUGUGAGACACACAGCUAUGAGUUGGUCCUGAGACCUGAUGAAAAGCAGAUGGAAGCGAGGGAGGUGAAGCCGUCUCGCAAAGAGUUUUAUGUUUGGGAUCAUGUUGCUGUCGCCCUGCAUGUGGGCAGACAGGUGCUGAAGUUUGAUCCUGCCUGACUGAGACAGAACCUCAAGUACUGUGAAAAAGCAACACCUUCAAUUGUGGAUGAAUCCAAAUUUCAGGACUUCCCACAAGCUGAAGAGUUAGUCAGGGAAUUGUGGCCUGACGACUCGUCACCACUGGAGAGAGCUGAGCCGCUAAAUAAAGUGAAAAGUGAAAAAUGAAAUCUGUCGUCUGUCAGCAUGAAGAUGUACAGAAGCUACAACAAUAACAACAACUAUAAUAAUGAAAUAUGAAUAUUAGAAAUACUAACAGCUGUAAAACAACUAUAGUCCAAAUAUGACCAGUAAAAACAAUAAUGACAAUAAUUAUAAUAAUUAAUCCAGAACUCAUUACUCACCAAAAAUAUUCAGUUGUGGUUUGUAGAUUGCUGUAGUUGUGGUUAGUUUGUCUUUUAGCCCUAAAUAUCUUUCAUGCUAUUUCAUUUCUGAGGUCACUUCACUAUUAACUUGGCUGUUCCUCCUCCAGAGGUGCUGAAGUCACCUCAUUAACAUCCUAACAGGAUAGAUUACAUGAGAGUAAUUAUCAUGACACCUACAGACAGGGAGGAUCGCUUUUUCUUUUCUCCUGUUUUGUUAUCGGCCUUUUGUUGCUUCUGUUUUUGGACUCUGGAUUCUGUGGGCUUGUUUUAUGGCUUCAUUUAAUAAAGGUAAAGCUUUUUGUUCCUCACCUUCCUGCAUGUGUUUCUUCUGUUUGGGUCCUUAUUUGUGUGAACAUUGUGAAUGUUUGUUAAAUUGAAUUAAAAAGUCAAACAUUCACUCGUUGUCUUCAUGAGCAGAUCAUAAUAUUACAUAUUAAACAUGUUGUGAUGUGACAGUUGGCUGAAAUGUUUUAAUGUGAGGAUUUACACAACAAACGUCAUGAUAAACACAUCUUAGAGCUCAUUAGAAAAGCUCC
rnacentral:lncRNA from 1 species